rnacentral:rRNA from 1 species
UACGGGGGGGGCAAGCGUUGUUCGGAAUUACUGGGCGUAAAGGGCCAGUAGGCGGCCAACUAAGUCCGACGUGAAAUCCCAAGGCUUAACCUUGGAACUGCGUCGGAUACUGGAUGGCUUGAAUUCGGGAGAGGGAUGCAGAAUUCCAGGUGUAGCGGUGAAAUGCGUAGAUAUCGAGAGGAACACCUGCGGCGAAGGCGUGUUGCUGGGCUGAUACUGACGCUGAGGCGCGAAAGCUAGGGGAGCGAACGGG